GGAGGGAAGAAUGCCGGGGGUCUAUUUGGAAACAGCCUCUCUAUCCAAGGGUAGGGGUAAGGCCUGCGUACACACUACCCUCUCCAGAUCUCACUAAGUGGGAUUAUACUGGGUUGUUGUUGUUGCCUUAGCAGGGGUAGUUAUGAGGUAACCGUGCUAUUAAGAGGUAACAGAAUCGUCGAGAUAAGUCCAAACUGGUGCGGACGGCACUCUUAUAUAUAUAUUAUAUAUACUAUAAUAUAAAUUUAGCAUGUAACUGAUAUAGUCCCCUCCCCUUCUCACUCUCAUGUUAUCAAUUAUAGAAAACCCCUACAAUCACGUUUUCAUCACAUUUUUAGAAAGAUUUCAAAAUAUCCCUUUCUCUUUCAUAUAAAUCAACCCAAACCUCUGCCAGUUCAUACAAUAUAUCGACAUUAUCUCUAAAAUUUCAGCAUGAAAAGGUAAUUAAAAAGUUUCGAAGCUUUUAAUUUAAUAUUCAGGUUUUAUGAAUUCGUGAGUUGCUUGGAUUGAGUGUUCUUGUAAAUGUUUGAAAAUAUACGUUGGAGUUUAUAUUUUAAUUUUGAGGGAGAUUGGUUAAGUUCAAAAUUGUUUUUAGUUAAAGUUUUCAGAUUGAAACUCAAUGAAGAAAUAAGUUUUAGAAUUGUAUCACGUUUGUAUACUAAUUGUAUCAAUAUUCGUAUUUUACGAAUUUGUGAUUUGUUUGGAUUGGGUUUUCUUCCAAACGGUUGAGAAUAUACUUUAGAAUUUAUAUCUCAAUUUUGAGAGAAUUUGGUUAAGUUUAGAGUUGAUUUUAGGUAAAAUUUCAGAUUGAAAGAAGAGAAGGAAGAAGAAGAAGAAGAAGUUAAGAAUUGAAUUAGGAUUGUAUGAUAAUUAUAUCACAAUUGCAUUAAAAUUCUUUGAGGACUAUAUCAUAAUUGUAUUAUAGUUGUAUCUGAUGCAUCAAUACAUGAAAUAAUACUUGAUAGAAUAUUAAUACAAAUUUAAUACAAUAUUUGUAUCAAAUUUUUAUUGGUUUGUAUGUUUUUUUGUAUAUGAUUUGUUCUUCCUCCUCGAUUUUUAAUCUGGAAAUAAAAUUAUGAUUAUUGCUGGUUUUGUGCUGGUUUUUAUGGAGUUUGCUGCUGGUUUUAGGUGGAAUUUCAUAUUGAAACUUGAAAAGGAAGAAGUUCGUAAUUAUAUCACAUUUAUAUAAGAAUUGUGUU
rnacentral:lncRNA from 1 species